UACAGAGGUCUCGAGCGUUAGGCGGAAUCACUGGGCUUAAAGCGUGUGUAGGCGGAUCGUUAAGUGCCUUGUGAAAUCCCACGGCUCAACCGUGGAACUGCUUGGCAUACUGGCGGUCUUGAGCACCUAGGGCGGAGCGGAACAAAUGGUGGAGCGGUGAAAUGCGUAGAUAUCAUUUGGAACGCCAAUGGUGAAAACAGCUCGCUGGGGGUUUGCUGACGCUGAGACGACGAAAGCCAGGGGAGCAAACGGG
rnacentral:rRNA from 1 species